CAGCCGCGGUAAUACGGAGGGUGCCAGCGUUAAUCGGAAUUACUGGGCGUGAAGCGCACGCAGGCGGUCUGUCAAGUCGGAUGUGAAAUCCCCGGGCUCAACCUGGGAACUGCAUUCAAAACUGGCAGGCUAGAGUCUUGUAGAGGGGGGUAGAAGUCCAGGUGUAGCGGUGAAAUGCGUAGAGAUCUGGAGGAAUACCGGUGGCGAAGGCGGCCCCCUGGACAAAGACUGACGCUCAGGUGCGAAAGCGUGGGGAGCAAACAGGAUUAGAUACCCUGGUAGUCCACGCCGUAAACGAUGUCGACUUGGAGGUUGUGCCCUUGAGGCGUGGCUUCCGGAGCUAACGCGUUAAGUCCACCGCCUGGGGAGUACGGCCGCAAGGUUAAAACUCAAAUGAAUUGACGGGGGCCCGCACAAGCGGUGGAGCAUGUGGUUUAAUUCGAUGCAACGCGAAGAACCUUACCUACUCUUGACAUCCAGAGAACUUUCCAGAGAUGGAUUGGUGCCUUCGGGAACUCUGAGACAGGUGCUGCAUGGCUGUCGUCAGCUCGUGUCGUGAAAUGUUGGGUUAAGUCCCGCAACAAGCGCAACCCCUG
rnacentral:rRNA from 1 species